UACGAAGGGGGCUAGCGUUGUUCGGAAUUACUGGGCGUAAAGCGCGUGUAGGCGGGUCUUUAAGUCAGGGGUGAAAUGCCAAGGCUCAACCUUGGAACUGCCUUUGAUACUGGAGACCUUGAGUCCGGGAGAGGUGAGUGGAAUUGCGAGUGUAGAGGUGAAAUUCGUAGAUAUUCGCAAGAACACCAGUGGCGAAGGCGGCUCACUGGCCCGGUACUGACGCUGAGGCACGAAAGCGUGGGGAGCAAACAGG
rnacentral:rRNA from 1 species